GAUGAACGCUGGCGGCGUGCCUAAUACAUGCAAGUCGAGCGAACAGAUGAGGAGCUUGCUCCUCUGACGUUAGCGGCGGACGGGUGAGCAACACGUGGAUAACCUACCUAUAAGACUGGGAUAACUUCGGGAAACCGGAGCUAAUACCGGAUAAUAUAUUGAACCGCAUGGUUCAAUAGUGAAAGACGGUUUUGCUGUCACUUAUAGAUGGAUCCGCGCCGCAUUAGCUAGUUGGUAAGGUAACGGCUUACCAAGGCAACGAUGCGUAGCCGACCUGAGAGGGUGAUCGGCCACACUGGAACUGAGACACGGUCCAGACUCCUACGGGAGGCAGCAGUAGGGAAUCUUCCGCAAUGGGCGAAAGCCUGACGGAGCAACGCCGCGUGAGUGAUGAAGGUCUUCGGAUCGUAAAACUCUGUUAUUAGGGAAGAACAAAUGUGUAAGUAACUAUGCACGUCUUGACGGUACCUAAUCAGAAAGCCACGGCUAACUACGUG
rnacentral:rRNA from 1 species